UACUGGUAUGGAGUGGAUAAAGUCCAGGGGUGCUGCUACGUACACUGAAAUGCACAGGAUGGUAUCCCACACAAAAAUAGAAUUCCCCAGCCUAAAAUGCCAAUAGUGCUGAGGUCAAGAAAUCCUGACAUAGAGUGAAAUAGGCAAAAAUUAGAGUAGAGAGAGUUGAGACGUGAGUAGAGACAGAAACAGAAACAGCAAGUGUAGACAACUUUUGAAAAGGUUGCCUGUAAAGAGGAAGAACUCAGGCAUUAGCUAGAAGGGAAUGAGGGAAUGAAGUGAGAAUUUUCUUUUUCUUUCUUUCUCUUAAUUGGGAGAAAAUUGAGCCUGUUUUUUAAAGUGGCAAUUGAGGGAGAGUUUGAAUAUAGAGAUUAAAGAUAAUCUAUAACGUUAGGCCCCAAGGCAAAAUAUGAAUACAGCUAGUGACUGCAAUCCAUGUUAGAAGUAUGCAAGCUGAAAUACAGAGCAGUUAAAUGAACUGUCCCAACACUAAUUAAUAACAGGGUACUCAGGGUCCAAGGCAGGACAAAGCUUUGAUUAUCACCAGUAAAAGUGUUUUGCAAGAUGCGUCUCUUUGUGAUGGCCACCUGAGGUUCACCAGAGCUCAGGAUGAAUUUUACAAUAUCACAUUAUAAAGUUUAAGAAAUAGGCGAACUCAAGGGGUCAGCAACAAAAUAAUUCACAGGUCCUUUGAUUCUCCCACUGUUCCCAUGAAGCAGUAUGCAGGGGCCAGGAUCAUCUGAUGGAGACUCAGUCUAGUAUUCCAGGGAAGGGGCGCCACCCCACUGCUGCUCUCCUUUCUCACAGAGCAAGUAACUUUAUCAGAAGAGAUAAUCAGACAACUUGAAUGUUUGGCAGUCUGGGUUGGCAGUUAGCUAGUUGGAGGAGGUGACUGAAAGCUAGCUGUCCAGCACCCAAGAACAGUGGGGACCAUGGGAAGUUGUAGCUCUUGCAAGAGGGUGAAAUAACACCAUCAGUUUUCUUGGAAGUUGAGUUUAAGCACAGCUUCUUCAACCAGUUGAAGAAUAAUUCCUGGUUCUAGGUAGUCCAUUGGUUCAGGUAACCAAGAGUGAGCUACGGGAGACACUUUCAGACAAUGCCACUCAUUGUUAUGAAAUUCUAUAUAUCAUUCAAUAAAUGACAUUUAGAAUAGCUUGUGCAUAUAUUUCAGCAGACUUCUCUCAUUUUAUUUCUUCAUCAUCCUGUGCGGUUUUUAGAGAAAAUGAAGAAACAAAGGAUAUGGCUUCAAAGUGAAGAGGAUUCUUAUGAAACAAACCAUAAUGUUGUUGGCAUUUACCAACUAAAAUGGUUUAAGCUUAACUUACAGAGAAUAUUUCUAAAUGUGACUUCUGAUACAUAAGCAAAAAUAGUAUAUAUAAAUACCUACAUUCCAAAAUGGUGACAUGUUCCAUGAGGGUUUUUUUUCUUUUUAUAACAAAGAUGGUGGGAAAAAUAGAAAACAAAGCUAAAAAAACAGAAAGGAGAAAAUGCCAAAUAGAGAGUUUUUCCCCUUAAUUGGCUUAGUGUUGUAGAAUAAAAUAACAGAAGACCUAUGGCUAAGACACAGAAAAUACAGCUACUGUUGGAAGAGAUGAAAUUUCUAAGGUCCCAACAUUUCUAUUACAUUGUGAAAAGUCAAACAAAACAAAAAGUUGGACUUGACAGAGAAAGCUACCAAGUAGUCUUUGUCAGUCGCAUUUUUUAUUUAAAAGGUAAUCUAAAGCUACCUAAAAAUAUGCAAUAUUGAAAUUAAUGGGCAACUUGCCUUUUCUGAUAGAAUUCAACAAUAAACAGAACUUCAAUAUAUCAAUGUUCUUAAGGGAGAUGCCACGGGAGGAAAAAAGAGUCGUCAGGUUGAUCAUAGAGCAAAUGUGUCCCUUGAAAGCUAAAGGUAAUGCUUUGCCUCCAAAAAAUUAAAAUCAUCUAGGAGAAAGAGGUAAAAUAUACAGGCAAUGCAAAAGAAAAGAAGCCCUCCUUCUCUGACAUAUAAGGGAGAGAGACAGCUUAGGCCACACAAAGUUAUAGGUUUUAGAAUGUUUAAAGUAUUCAAGUGAAUUGGCUAUCUAAUGGCUCACAGAUCUGAAAAAGUAGGAAGUAAAGAAUCCAAAAAUGGAAGCACUUGAGGCACAAUGGCAUGACAAGUGCUUCUCAAACGUGAAUGUACUUACAAAUCAUCCGGAGAUCUUGUUAAAAUGCACACUCUGAUUCAGCAGGUCUAGCACUAGGCCUGAGAUUCUGCAUUUCUAACAAGUUCCCAGAUGACACCAAUGCUGCUGGUCCUUGGGUCACACUUUGAAUAGCAAAGUACUGAUGACUCCUGACUUAACAUAGCAUCCAUGGAACCCAAGUAGGAAGUCUCCAUAUAUUUGUUCAGCCAUAGAAAUGUACAGACCUUCACAAGAUUAGAAUACUGGUGGCAUGGGAAAACAGAGUUUGCUACCUUUACCUAUGAGUCAUUGAAUUAAUUUUUGCUCAUGCCAAUCAAACCUAUUAACAUAACACUGUCAUGCGAAUACCUGUGCUAUUUUUCAGAUAGUCCUAGAAGCACUGAUAAAACAGUACAUGUUCAUCUGACAGCGUAUCAUGAAAAUACAUGUGGAAAUUAUUGUAAAAUGCAGUAGCACAUAUUUUACAUAGGUAACAUGUGGAAACUUUACAGUUAUAAAUCUGUGGACUUACUCGAGCAGAAUAUCUCAUUUAAGUCUCAGGUAAAGUACAUGCCUUGUAAGUUAAACCACGUGCUCAAGUGCCAGUAGAGCAGUUUCUUGCUCCCUGCUCACUUGUACUCCGUCCAGCAGGGAGAAUUAAAGAUAUGUGAUCAGCAGAUGAAGGUCUGCCAAUAAGAACCAUGUCUAGGAUAUAUUUUAAAAUCUACAAUUGGCCUGUUUUCCCUGUGUUUCACAUUGGGGUAACAUUCCCC
rnacentral:lncRNA from 10 species